rnacentral:rRNA from 1 species
CUACGGGAGGCAGCAGUGGGGAAUAUUGGACAAUGGGCGAAAGCCUGAUCCAGCCAUGCCGCGUGUGUGAAGAAGGCCUUCGGGUUGUAAAGCACUUUCAGUGGGGAAGAAAGCCUUGGGGCUAAUACCCUCGAGGAAGCACAUCACCCACAGAAGAAGCACCGGCUAACUCCGUGCCAGCAGCCGCGGUAAUACGGAGGGUGCGAGCGUUAAUCGGAAUUACUGGGCGUAAAGCGCGCGUAGGCGGUCUGAUAAGCCGGUUGUGAAAGCCCCGGGCUCAACCUGGGAACGGCAUCCGGAACUGUCAGGCUAGAGUGCAGGAGAGGAAGGUAGAAUUCCCGGUGUAGCGGUGAAAUGCGUAGAGAUCGGGAGGAAUACCAGUGGCGAAGGCGGCCUUCUGGACUGACACUGACGCUGAGGUGCGAAAGCGUGGGUAGCAAACAGGAUUAGAUACCCGAGUAGUC